rnacentral:rRNA from 1 species
UACGAAGGGGGCUAGCGUUGUUCGGAAUUACUGGGCGCAAAGCGCACGUAGGCGGAUUUGUUAGUCAGGGGUGAAAUCCCGGGGCUCAACCUCGGAACUGCCUUUGAUACUGCAAGUCUCGAGUCCGGAAGAGGUGAGUGGAAUUCCUAGUGUAGAGGUGAAAUUCGUAGAUAUUAGGAAGAACACCAGUGGCUAAGGCGGCUCACUGGUCCGGUACUGACGCUGAGGUGCGAAAGCGUGGGGAGUAAACAGG